AGUAUUUUACACUGCUACAUAUUUUUUACUAUAUAAUGAGCUGCGUGUGUGUGAGUGACAUAAAAAAACCCCCAUAAAAUAGCAGAACAUUGCUAUUCCACUUGCUGCAGUGUAUGAGCUGAUCUGGUUAGACACGAAAUGCAGACAGAAAUCCGCCUCACCUCUCAAGCUAAUUUUAGUCUCUCCCUCUGUUCUCUGUGGCUGUGUGUGUAUAAAAUCACUGGCAGUCUGACAGCGUUUCAGUAACCUGUGCCACGAGCAGAGCGGGAUGUACUCACCAACCAUCUGCUUGCAUGGCACGGGUUAACUGAGCCUGUGGGAUUGUGCUUACCUAAACAAAACCACUGCAGUGAGGGGAAAAACAAUGAAUGGGUGGAGAUGAUCAGCCCAUGCAUUCCAGCUAGUGCAGUCCAGGCAGCAAUGACAGCCUGAAGGUUGCAGCAGCAUCGGGAUCAGCAUUCCAAGUGCACCAAUCUUACAGUCUGGAGUGAUUUUACGUGGAGCUGUUCUUUAUUUGCUGAGCCAUGGCCAGUAACCAGGCCAGCCUGCAGGAUGAUCAGAGCAGGCACUGCAAGUUCUUAUCCUACAUGUUCUAUCAGGCUGUGAGAGAUCACAAGCCUGUGUGGAUGCUGGAAGACAUGAGAACUAUGGAGUAUUUUUACUGGGAGGAAAAUGCUAGCCUACGAACCUACUCACCUUCAGAAGCCCUUCUCUAUGCAGUGGUGCAUAAUCACCUGCCUUAUGCUCAGUAUCUGCUGUCUCAUUUUCCAGAGGAGGCUCUCAAGGUGCCUGGGGAGCACUUCUGCUAUUGCCCAUCCUCUGCUCCUCACCUGGCCAUGGCGGUCACAUAUGACAGGAGAGAUAUCUUGGGACUGAUCAUCAAAAUUGCACACAAGCUCCCCAGCUUGAACUCCUAUAUCAAUAGGGCUGGCUGCUUUCAUCUGGAAGAUGGGAAAACACCCCUGCACCUUGCCUGCGAACUGCUGAGGUCAGAGACGGUCCUCAUCCUCCUCGGGAACGGAGCAUCUCCCAGGAUAGAGGACAGCAAAGGGCUGACCCCGCUGGACGUCAUCCUGGAGCAGAUGUGGGACUCCAAAGUCAAUGUCGCAUCAAAGAAGCUCUGCCUCGACUACCUCUUGCUCUUCAUGCCCAACCCACAGUUUAAGAUGCGGAAAGUUCUGCAGGAGCAUCCAGACCACUGGACAGCUUUGCUGGGAGAAGACAAAUUCAACAGCCUGGUGGGGAACACACCUGCUUCUUUAUAUCUGCAAGCUAUGCAAACUAUUCUCCAGACUCUUCCCCCUUCCCACUUCCCUAAAAGCAUCCAGGAACUACCUAUACCUCAGGCACUAAAGCCUUUACCAUCCUAUGGCAAAAAGCUACCAGCAAAAAACGUGGUAAAUGUUUUUCCUUGACUUUAUUCAAUGGGUCUUGGAUUUUCCAAGGCAACUUAGAGGAGCUGGUUAUCCACCACCCUCUGCAUUUUAUUGUGAUUUUAGUACUUAACCUAUUAAGCUAUGCUGGAAAAUCCAAUAUUUUGUGACGAGAUUUUAAAUGUCUUUUCUAACUGAUUGCAGGCACGGCACUUUUAAAGGCAAAAGCCUUCCUUGUUUUCUGUUUUGUUGUGCAUGUGAAGGGUUAACUGUAGUUGAGACUGUGUAAUAUUUGGUUUCUUAGUUGUCAGCUGGUAUCAGUGUAUCUGAAUUCCCAAUAUGAUAACUGUAUCCUGUGUAAUGCACCUGGGUUAAAAGGAACUACGUACCCAGUGGGAUUUUUAAAUGGUGUCACUGCUAGAACUGGGAGGAACACCAUCCCCUACCAACAAGGUUCAAACAUCAAGUUUCCUUUCUAACAAUGCUCAAGCAUCAUUAGUAAUAACCACAAAGUGCAUGGCUGAUGCUGCAGGGAUGCAGAGGCAGUUCCUGCAGGAUAACUGAUCCUAUCGAGUUACUUUACAGCAGGUCAUGGUGUGGAGGGCAUGAGUUCAGAGAGGGGCAGUGUGUAUAUAUUCCUGGGGGAUGGGAGAUAAAGAUCCACAGAAUAUCUAAUGGGAAGCAUCCAGUCUCACCUGGGAGCGAGGGGGUUAAAGGCAAUCCCAGCCCUGAUGCCUCUACAGACUUGUGCAAUGGGGAAGGAACCAUUUUCCCCGAUGUCCAGUAAACAAAUGGCAAUUGGAGUAGGGACAUUGGGAGCCCUAUCUUUCACAUGUGGCAUUAUUUCUCCUUGGCCUGUGUUUUGGAACAUAUCUCUACAGGAGAUUAACUGGCUAACUUGAUUUCCCUGUGGGUCUCAGAGCCAUAGGCAUUUGUUACUUAUCCUAAGCUGGGGUAUGAUGUUCUGCUGUUAAAAGCUGUUACUUGUUGUCGGUUAGAGUAUUUUUGCCACACAGAUCCAGACAGAAAUCCUUAUUCUGGAAGUUACAAAGUGUUCCCACUAACUGGGCACUGCAGGCAGGGUGAGCUUGCAGAAAGCAGGGCUGGGUCUGGGCAGCUUUCUGGGUAGCUCUGAAUCACGCUGCCCUCUCUGCUCAAGGCACUGGUCCUGCUCUCCUGACUGUUCUCAGCAUCAAUAGAGCAGUGGCAGAAUCCCAUCUCCCUUUUGGGGACAUCCCUUAUUUUGGAUACCAGUGUUCCCCACUCCUUGUAAGUGCAACUCUCUGUUCUGCUGGAGUAGUACAACUCACUUCCCCUGCCUGCACUGGGCAGCAGUGGAGAACUCACUCUCCUCUUGGGCUGGAUUUGGAGCCCAAGGCUGUGGGGGCACAAACCACUUUCCUCAGCAGUAGCUAAGAAUGAUGUGCAGUCAAAUCUCAAUUACUUUGUGCAAAAAUGGCUCAUGUUUCACCUGGCUAAUUCCCUGCCUGAACCAAGGAGGCUGUGCUGGACCUGUUCCUGUCUUUCUGUCAGUGCAGGGAGCACUUCCAUUUAGUUUCCCUCUGCAUGGGCUACCUCCUGUGUGCCAGGACACUGGCAAUGCCAGCCAUGGCCAGGUGGAGAUUUACUAUGUGGCUGCAGAACAUGCCACCCACAGCCACCUGGACCAUCCUUUCUGAGACACUGGGAUGCUCCUCCCAGCCAUCUCCUCCCGCAUGCUGUGGGAGGACCUCAGUGCCACCUGUGCUAGGCCAGGUGAAUGAGAAGCCUUACUUGUGAGGUGGAGAAAAUGUCAGCCCAGCCCUAAAAGUGGCAAGCAGGCCAUGAAGGGGUUAACCCUUCUCCUGAAAUCCCACAUCUCUGGUGCUGCAGUGUCCCUCCACUCCUGCCCCCGGGGACUUAAAUGUCCUUCUCCAUCUGUGUCUAUUCCUCCUUGUUCGAUGGGGAAGGCUGCAAAUGGGGAAAUGCAGGGUCAGCGUUGGGUGAGAGUUUUGGGGGAAGCCUGUGCUUGCUCGACUGCAGACAGAAGCUGUCACGGCUUGGGAAGCAAAGCAGAGCCCAAGGCAGAUUUGCAUUAUAAGCAGUGGCUCAGCUGCUUCUGCCAAGCCCUCAGGCUCCUCAGCACUGGCACAUACUCCCCCCAAAACCCGGAGCUGGAGGCAGAGGACAGAGAGGCUCUCGCUGCCCAUGGCUGCCUAGAGUGACUGUGCAGAGCACAGCCCCUGUGGCACCCCAGGAGUCCCGAGGAGCAGGAUUGGGUUUGUUCCCAGCAGCACUGCGGUAUCUCGUCCGGAUGUUGGUGGGUGAGAGGCGGAGGAGGCUGGUGAAGGGUAUUAUUAGAAUAGUAAUUAGGUCCUGGAAGCAGAGAUCCCAGGAAAGGAGGAAAUGGAGAUCAUUCAGUGCUAUUGCACUGGCUCGAAACCAUGUGAGUUUCAGUGCUGUGAAGAAUUUCAGAAAAGACAGGAGGGAGGGGAGGAUUGUUCAUCUUACAAAUCCAAGGAGGCAGGUAGGGACUGUUGGCAUUAAUGCCAGCACUUUCUAUUAAGGCAGGAGGCCACGCUCAGAGAACCAGAGCAGUGAGCAAGUGAGUGUGAAAUGGUGCAGGGGUCUCUUGUUGGCUGCAAUAGUUGUGGAUCAAUGCAGAGGUCAGGAAUCAGGCACUUUAUGGGUGGGUUUGUAGCAGACAGCAGGAUGCUUGUGUACAUGUAUGUUCAUGUGGGAGGCUCCCCUCAAUCCACCUGCCAAGAGAGAUAGAAGGUGAAUUGUCUCAAAUAGUUUCUUUCUGGGACAUUCCUGUGUCUGGUGCCCCAACCUGGAAGAAAGCUGCUGGUCUACUGUUGGCCAACAUGUAAAAAUUCUGGUGUGUCCAGCCAGAGUAUAACAGGCAAGUACCUGCACAGGAAAGGUCACUCCACAGCCCCCUCAUUUCUCCUUUUCUUCACCAUUUUAGCAAGAGAUUGAGCACCAGCUGGUCCUCAAUCCCAUCAGGACUCCCAUGUGCAGUCCCAGUCAGACAAAGUUUAGGGUCAUUAGCACUGUGGUGACAACUCUUUCCAUUGCCUGUAGCAAUGUGACAGCAGGAUGGGCACUCCUGCUGGAAUAGGGGAAUCUUCUCCCCAGACUCUUCUUAUAUUGUGGUGAUCUGCCUGUUAGUUUGAGAUCCCAUUCAUCUUUUUUGUCAAUACAGUGACAUUACAUCAGAUAUGGCCAAAUCUACCUCAGCCCCAUCUGUGUUGGCUUUUUCUCUCCAUUCUUUCCAAGCCAGGUCAUUAGCAAAAGUAAACUCAAAAAUAUUUUGCAAUAUUUUCCUGCAACCUGACCAUCUUGAAAAAUCCCUGUGCUUGCAUGGCAAAUAUGUUGGUGACUUUGUUAAUCAAAAAGGGUGCUGGGUGCUGUGUGGUGAUGUUUACAUUCUGCAUAUCUGCACACUGAGUAAGUGUCGCUCAGACCUGUAUUUCUGAACUUGGGAAAAAGAAUAAACACAAGAGAGAAACAGGGAGAGGGUAAAGUCUUUUCUGAUCUUUCGAUUUAGGUUGGUUCUGUAAGUUACAUCUCUUUAAUUUCAAUUUUGAUGAGUAACAUUGUAAGGAUCUGAAUUGUCUGUAUGCGCGAGCUUUUGGUUUUGGUGAGAAGCACUUCAGUGAGUGCAGUGGGGUGGUGUGAGUGAGUGAGUGAGUGAGAGAGUGAGUCAGUGAGUGAGUGAGUGAGUGAGUGAGUGAGUGAGUGAGUGAGUGAGUGAGUGAAAACGUGCAGGUGUGUGUGUGCACUGUGUGAGUGCCUGCCCUCUUGCCAUAUGUGUCUGCCUGCCCUCUCAUCGCACACGCGUGAGUGUCUGCCUGCCCUCUCCUGGCAAAUCCGCAACCGACCGGCAGCUCCCACCGCUGCCCUCCUCGCACCAGCAGUGAGCCAUGCCCUUCGGAAGCAGCCUUUUCACGCGGUCAGUGUGUGUGUCCCAGGCCCUGUGCUGCUGACAGCAUCAUUAGCAGGAAGGACAGGCCAGAUUCUGACCUCAAUUACACCUGCCUGCACCUGAAGUAACACUUUUUAAGUUGGUUCCAUCACUACAGAUGUUUGUUGGUCUAAAGGAAAACAAACUGUUUGUGCAUUUGUGUACUUCAAGGCUCCAUAACUUUAGCAUACGAAGAAAUGUGACACUUAAUCUCUGAAAACAUUUUUUACAUUUUUUGUACUCUGAAUGUAUAUAGAUAUAUAUUUUCCAUCUCUAAAAUCAACGGCAUUUCCCUGUUCCCAGUUCCCUUUGCGUUUCUGGAAUCAGCAUAGCAGUGACAGAUGCUGUUGGUCACUUAUUAAGACUGAAUGUUGCCAUUCCCAAGUACAAAUGAAUGUUCAUUGUAUGAUACAACUUUCUUAUAAAGCCAUACUUUUGUAAUUUUGGUUUCUCUUUUUUAAGGGGGGAAGAAUCUUACCCAUAAUUGUGUUUGCACAUUACUCGCUGCAUGAGUAAAGGUAAAACAAUUGUAACUUGCUGGAAUAAACUAUAUAUACAUAGCCUAAUAUAAUUAUGUACACUAGCUGUGAAAAUAAUUCAGUCUUGAUUGUAUUAAUAUAAUAAACUUGAAAUAUAAAA